UAUGGCCAUAUCACGUUGAAAUACCGGUUCCCACACGAGCACAGAAGUUAAGCAAUCUUGAACCUGGUCAAUACGUAGAUGGAUGGCCGCUCGGGAAUAUGAGCUGUUGUAAG